AACGAACGCUGGCGGCAUGCCUAACACAUGCAAGUCGAACGAGACCUUCGGGUCUAGUGGCGCACGGGUGCGUAACGCGUGGGAACCUGCCCUUAGGUUCGGAAUAACUCCCCGAAAGGGGUGCUAAUACCGGAUAAUGUCUUCGGACCAAAGAUUUAUCGCCUUUGGAUGGGCCCGCGUUGGAUUAGCUAGUUGGUAGGGUAAAAGCCUACCAAGGCGACGAUCCAUAGCUGGUCUGAGAGGAUGAUCAGCCACACUGGGACUGAGACACGGCCCAGACUCCUACGGGAGGCAGCAGUGGGGAAUAUUGGACAAUGGGCGAAAGCCUGAUCCAGCAAUGCCGCGGGAGUGAUGAAGGCCGUAGGGUUGUAAAGCUCUUUUACCCGGGAUGAUAAUGACAGUACCGGGAGAAUAAGCUCCGGCUAACUCCGUG
rnacentral:rRNA from 1 species